rfam:Setaria italica strain Yugu1 chromosome VII, whole genome shotgun sequence.
GUGGACGUGCCAGAGUGGUUAUUGGGCAUGACUAGAAAUCAUGUGGGUUUCGCCCGCGUAGGUUCGAAUCCUACCGUCCACG